GGGGAUUUAGCUCAGCGGUAGAGCGCUUGCCUAGCACGCGUAAGGCCCUGGGUUCGGUCCCCAGCUCCA
rnacentral:tRNA from 1 species